rnacentral:lncRNA from 1 species
CUUCCUGCUGCAGUAAGAGAUGAACAUUCCCUUUGGAGAGACACACUAGGUCACUACAAAUGGGCCACUGAAGAACCUGGCACUGGCCGCUAUCACUGGCCCCAGCUGCAGUGCUGCUUGCUGUUCACAGAUUAAGACCCUGGGGCUUGGAGACAGCAAGUGACUGUCCCAAGAUCACUCAGCUGAUAAGUGAUGGAGCCAGGAUUCCAGCCUAGACUGUCUGACUGCAAGGGGCUUGAACUUUUCACCGUAACGCAGAUUGUGAAUUCCAUGAAAGCAGGGACUGUGCUUUCUGAGUCUCUAGCCAAGCACCUGCCACAUGGGCUGGAAGAAAAUGUGGAAGAUUCCUCUCUUGGUGCUGAAGGCUUGAGUGGAAUUUGCAGAAGCCCAUUCCGGGAGCUCUAACUAGCUCUUUGCUGGCAAAUUUCCUGGAAAUUUAACCAUCAGCUCUUGUGAACUGGGACUAGCCAGCCCUGGCGUACCACUGGUGAUUGCGGAAGGCCUUGCUGAGAAAGGGACAUCUGAACAGGAAACUGAAAGAGGUGCGGUGAGGGAGUAAGACCCGGGGACAUCUGGCGACCAGCACUCGCUUCCUGCCUGGGAAAAGCAGCAUCUCAGGCUGGCUGCAGUCAAUGGCGUGAUCUCCGCUCACUGCAGCCUUGACCUCCUGGGCUCAAGCAAUCCUACCACCUCAGCCCCUCAAGUAGCUAGGACUACAGGUG